AGUGAACGCUGGCGGUAGGCCUAACACAUGCAAGUCGAACGGCAGCACAGUAAUAGCUUGCUCUUACGGGUGUCGAGUGGCGGACGGUUGAGGAAUACAUCGGAAUCUACUUUUUCUUGGGUGAUAACGUAGGGAAACUUACGCUAAUACCGCAUACGACCUACUGUUGAAAUCAUUGGAUCUUCGGACCUUUCGCGUUUUAAUGAUCCGAUUUCGGAUUAGCUAGUUGGCGGGGUAAAGGCCCACCAAGGCGACGAUCCGUAGCUGGUCUGAGAGGAUGAUCAGCCACACUGGAACGGAGACACGGUCCAGACUCCUACGGGAGGCAGCAGUGGGGAAUAUUGGACAAUGGGCGCAAGCAUGAUCAAGCCAUACCGCGUGGGUGAAGAAGGACUUCGGGUUGUAAAGACCUUUUGUUGGGAAAGAAAAGCAGCAGGUUAAUACCCCGCUGUUCUGACGGUACCAAAAGAAUAAGCACCGGCUAACUUCGUG
rnacentral:rRNA from 1 species